rnacentral:tRNA from 1 species
AUCGUCGUGGGUGAACGGUUCAGCCAGCGGAUUGCAACCCCGCGCAUGCCGGUUCGAGCCCGGCCGACGAUUCCA